UCAUCACUGCUGCAUCUCCUCCUGUUACCUCCUGCCCCCUCCCCAUUGCCCCCAGAAGCAGAGACAUCCUUCUACACAUUAGAGCCUGGUGGCUUUCCCUUGGAGCUCAGUAGGAGAAAGGACCUCCUGUAAGACCCGAACAUCAGCUACCAGCAAGCUUGCACGUCCGUGAUGACUGCAGAAAAGCAGAGUUGACAUCUGUGUGUGCGCUUCCCCUUGAGGAUGUGUGAAACACAUGGGCUUAAGUUUUAAGUAGGCUUUUGUUUUUGUCUUUACUGGCAACUCGGGAUAAAGGGAAGGGGUGUAAUUAGCAAAGGCCUGCUUGGAGCGUUUCUGGAUUUCUUCCGCAAGACCAGUUUGGCGAAAUGGACAAGUGAAAAGGCCUCCCAAAGAUCCCUCUGAGAAGAUCAUAAACUUAUGCCAACCGAGCUACGGAAAUGAACAUCUUUGUCAAACCCCCGAAUGCUUUCAACAACAACAAAGCACAGUGGAGAUUACUAAAUAAUAAAAGAUUAGCCUCUUAUUCAAACAACAGCCAAAGCAUCCCGUGCUCCUCUCCCACAAACAAAUCAGGAUGGUGGUGUACUCUCCAUAAAAGCAAGGGAGAAAGAGAUGCCCUGUGAUCUUAGAUUUCAUCUCUGCCACUUAAAGCACAUUUGACCCACUCUGGCUGAAGCUGCAUAUGCACAAAAAUAUAAAUGCAGGUUAUCAAAUGCUAUCCGUUAUCUUAACACCAAUCAAUGGUUAUAUAGGUUUGUAACUGCCAUUCCAUCUUCUUGCAUAUUUUUGUGUUGCAUUUGAAAAGACAAUUAAAAAAACCUGAAGUGAAGUCUUCUGCCAGCCAUGUUUUCCUGCACAGAGUAGUAGACUCUUGGGGUUAGGCUUUCUUCCCAUGUAUCUCUUUGUGUACAGAUGUGUUGGGAGGAAAAGCCUUACCAUUUUCUCAAACUCAGGGAAAGUUUAAUCUGUCCAUUUUCUCCCACCCUCAUACUUGAAGUAAGGGUAAGAGCAUAAGAGUCUACACAUUAUAACAAAUGAAACUGACAAGGCUUUCCCCCAAACUAGUCAGUUUUACGGGAGAGCAGAUGAGAACAGUAAAGGAUGCAGUGGUGGGAUAAGUUAGAAGGCCAUGUGUUAGCUUCCAAGCCUAACACAAAGCAUUGUGGACUAUGAUUAUAAUUGUAGGUGGAUUCAGGAGCAUCUUCUCCCCCUGUAGUGGAGGAACUGGGAAUGGUAGUGUUUAAGUGGGGAAAGCAGAACUCCUAGUCACAUUUAUUAGCAGCAGUGGGGAGACAAUUGGGGUGUGAUAAUUCUUAUUCUAAAAUGCAUGUGUCACUGUGGCCUUAGAGAUGUGUGAAUGAUUUUACAGAUUGUGUUCUGUGGAAAGUACAUCCUUAGGGUAUAGGAAAUCUUUCCUGCAUUUCAUUGUAUACAUUAAGUUAGAAAAAAAACCUACCAAAUUCUUUUGGCUUUGGUCCCCUUUCAUCUGUUUACUAUCUCUUGAUAUGUAAUAAUGUUGUACUCUCAUUAUUCUGUUCAUCAGUGAUCAUCACAUCCUCCUGACACUCUUAGCCAAUGGGUCCUGGUGUUUUUUCAUUACAGAUGGACAAUUGAAACCAAGAAGAUGAUACUGCCCUUUCCAAUCCCAAAGACACCUAAUGGCUAAACAGGAAUUUGAAUCAAAAUUCCUGAAGGUAGUCACACCAUCCAGUCAGUUGCAUUGGAUCACUGCUCAAAUGCUUUUAUUUCCACAGUAAUGUAAACAGUUGAGGAACGUUCAGGAGGAAAUGGUUGAAGGUGUAGAUGUUGACAACAAUGUCAUAUGUAAACAGAGCAGAUGUAGUAUGUGAUUUUCCUUACAUGUAGGUUGUGGGUUUUUAAAAUCAUAAUGUCGUCUUUUUGCCCUUGGUUGAUUAUAAGCAAAGCUUAUUGAACCUUUACCUUUUAUUUUAAAACAAUGUUGACAGCUGCUGGGAGAUGAGUCUUUCCAGGUUAUUUUGUGUGAGCUUUAGCAUGCUCAGCCCCCAAGCAGUGUUCCAGUGCACCUUUAAAUGUCUAUGCAGAUCACUGCAAUCUGACUGAGUGGUUUUUCCAUUACAGAAGUCACCCUAUAUCUUCCUGCACUUAAGGGCUGACUCAGCCAUGGAUGUUCAUCACUUGACUACUACAAGAUCUGUUGCGAAUGUGAAUGAGGUAACAUGCAGAAUACCUUUCAUAUCCUGUCAUUCCCAACUGCUCCAGGCCAAUCAACUCACAUAUUCACAUGCUAGUAAUUAAGUAAUAUAUUUGCAUGUACCAACUAGUGUACAGUAGUGAUGAAAUCUGAGUGAAUAUGCAGAUAAGCUUGAGUAUACAGUGACAAAGAACUAUAAAUGAAAGCAGGUGGCUUCUCUGAACAUAUAAGAAAACAAAAACUUUAAUGUGACUCUUUGUUUAGAGGGGAAUAUUUCAGGUCAGUAUAUUUGUCAUGGCAGUGGCCCAUGGAUUUGUAGGCUUGUGUGUAAAGUGGAAUAACUAUGACAGCCAAGAUGUCCAGAUGUCCUCCUUUUCCAGGGUGUGUCCUACAUUUCAACCUUCUCCAGCAGAAAUUUCAAAGUGUCCUCCAUUUUGAGCAGGACUAAGCAGCAUGAAUUACAUUGAUAUCAGUGUUUUUAGCUUUUGGUUUGUAAUGUUCUACAUUUUUCUUGAAUGUCUUACAUUUUGAAUUCCUUGUCCUCUAUGAUUCGGACAUCUGGUCACCCUGGACCUGGUGCAGGAUUGCUGCAAGGCUGAAUGAGAGGGAGGUUGUAGAUAAGAUUGGAUGCUAAAAAGCAGUGAAAGCUGGGGAACUGGGUGGAAUUCAUUUCAAGGAAAAGUUCACAGCAUUUACCCAAAAGUACAAAGGUCUAGGAUCAUAUAAUGGAAAGAAAUAGCCUUGAGUGUCAAUUUUGGGAAAAGAAAUUUAGUAAUAAUAAUUCACUGUUGAAAAUAAAUUUAUUGUAGUAUGAGUGUGAAGAGUGUAUGUGUAGGAUGUAAAUCUGUCAUUUUGUUGCAUUGCUAAAUAAAUAUUUUGCAAUAUAAA